rnacentral:rRNA from 1 species
GGUCAGGACGAACGCUGGCGGCGUGCCUAAUACAUGCAAGUCGAACGGUCUUUCUAUGGAAGCUUGCUUCCACUGAAAAGAUAGUGGCGAACGGGUGAGUAACACGUAGGUAACCUGCCCAUAAGAGGGGGAGUAACAUCCGGAAACGGGUGCUAAUACCGCAUAGUUUUCUUGAUCGCAUGAUCGGGAAAGGAAAGACGGCCUUUGUGCUGUCGCUUAUGGAUGGACCCGCGGCGUAUUAGUUAGUUGGUGAGGUAACGGCUCACCAAGACGAUGAUACGUAGCCGACCUGAGAGGGUGAUCGGCCACAUUGGGACUGAGACACGGCCCAAACUCCUACGGGAGGCAGCAGUAGGGAAUCUUCCGCAAUGGACGAAAGUCUGACGGAGCAACGCCGCGUGAGUGAAAGAAGGUUUUCGGAUCGUAAAACUCUGUUGUCAGAGAAGAACAAGUUGGAGAGUAACUGCUCCAGCCUUGACGGUAUCUGACCAGAAAGCCACGGCUAACUACGUGCCAGCCGCCGC